CCCAAACAAACUUUUUGCACUCCAAUCUGUUUCUCAGAGUCUACCUCUGUGAGAACCCAAAUUAAGACACUCAGUGAGAUAAGAAGUCCUGAAAAGAAGAUCCUCAGGCUGGGACUCUAGAGUUGAGUGAGACCAACCAAAAGACCCCAAAGGCUCCAUUACUGGUAAGCCAGAACUCUCAGAGAUAGUAAAAUGACCUUCAGUUGGAUUUCACACUGUCUGUUCAGCCACGGUCCUCAAAGGAAUGAAAAUAAAGAAAAUAAGAGGAGGAAGAAGACUUGUGAACGGGCCUUAUGGAAUCUCAACGGGAGCAUAUUCUGCCCUCUGCGUCUACUCAUUUACGCUACGAAUUAUGAG
rnacentral:lncRNA from 1 species